rnacentral:rRNA from 1 species
AUCCGAAGGGGGCGAGCGUUGUCCGGAAUGAUUGGGCGUAAAGGGCGCGUAGGCGGCCCGGUAAGUCUGGAGUGACAGUCCUGUUUUUAAGAUGGGAAUUGCUUUGGAUACUGUCGGGCUUGAGUGCAGGAGAGGGAAGUGGAAUUCCCAGUGUAGCGGUGAAACGCGUAGAGAUUGGGAGGAACACCAGUGGCGAAGGCGACUUACUGGACUGUAACUGACGCUGAGGCGCGAAAGUGUGGGGAGCAAACAGGAUUAGAUACCCUGGUAGUCCACACUGUAAACGAUGAAUGCUAGGUGUAGGGGGUAUCGACCCCUUCUGUGCCGCAGUCAACACAAUAAGCAUUCCGCCUGGGGAGUACGGCCGCAAGGUUGAAACUCAAAUGAAUUGACGGGG